AUUGAACGCUGGCGGCAGGCCUAACACAUGCAAGUCGAACGAGUGGCGGACGGGUGAGUCAUGUCGGGGCAACUGGCCGAUGGAGGGGGAUAACUACUGGAAAAGGUAGCUACUACCGCAGACCAUCGGAUGUGCCACGAUGGGAUUAGCUAGUAGGUGGGGUAACGGCUCACGUAGGCGACGUGCCCUAGCUGGUCUGAGAGGAUGAGCAGCCACACUGGAACUGAGACACGGUCCAGACUCAUACGGUAGGCAGCAGUGGGGAAUAUUGCCCAAUGGACGAAAGCCUGAGGCAGCAACGCCGCGUGUGUGAAGAAGGCCUUCGGGUUGUAAAGUCCUUUCGGUGAGGAGGCGGUACUCGCAGAAGAAGCACCGGCUAACUCCGUGCCAGCCGCCGCGGUAAUUC
rnacentral:rRNA from 1 species